rnacentral:tRNA from 1 species
ACUCCCUUAGUAUAACUAAUACAACUGACUUCCAAUCAGUAAAUUCUGGAAAAACCUCAGAAGAGAGUA